rnacentral:rRNA from 1 species
GUGAGGAAUAUUGGUCAAUGGGAGCAAUCCUGAACCAGCAAUGCCGCGUGUGGGAUGACAGGGCUCAGCCUUGUAAACCACUGUCGGAUGGGACGAGAGGGGGUCUUAGGCCCCUGGGACGGUACCAUCAAAGGAAGGGUCGGCUAACUACGUGCCAGCAGCCGCGGUAAUACGUAGGACCCGAGCGUUGUCCGGAUUCACUGGGUAUAAAGGGUGCGUAGGCGGCCUUGUGCGUCAGAGGUGAAAUAUCCGGGCUUAACCCGGAGGGUGCCUUUGAUACGGCAGGGCUUGAGUCCGAGAGAGGGUGAUGGAAUUCCUGGUGUAGCGGUGAAAUGCGUAGAUAUCAGGAGGAACACCGGUGGCGAAGGCGGUCACCUGGCUCGGAACUGACGCUGAGGCACGAAAGCGCGGGGAUCAAACAGGAUUAGAAACCCGGGUAGUCC